UAUUAAAAAGCCACUUGGAGCCAAAAUAUGAGUCCCCUGGUGUAUUUUCCUUCCUUCUCUUUUGGUGCUGCUUUGUCUUCUGUUAGGUCCUGCAGGUGGGGAAAGAGGAUGUGUGUCUGUCUGUGUUUCACCCCCUGGCCCAUGGUGGUUUGGGGACUGUGGCUGCACACCCCAUGGGCGCAGUGAGCCCUGAAGCCCCAUGUUCUCCUGCAGGCCCAUUCAUCAGCGUGGUCCUGUCGAAGCUGGAGAACAUGCUGGAGAACUCGCUGCAUGUGAACUUGCUGCUCAUCGGCAUCAUCACGCAGCUGGCCAGCUACCCCCAGCCCCUCCUGCGCUCCUUCCUGCUCAACACCAACAUGGUCUUCCAGCCCAGCGUGCGCUCGCUCUAUCAGGUGCGUCAGCCGGGCCAUGGUCACACCUGCUCUUCUCCUGGGUGCUGAUGUUCAGGGCUCCUUUCCUCCUUCCUCUCACGACUUUGCCAUUUUUCAGAAAUUCCACCGUCCUAAUUAAUUUGUAGAUUAUGCUAGACAAAUUGGCUCUACUUAGUUUGAUAUUUGGAGGGUGCCCUACAAGGAGCACCCAGGCAGUUAAAAAUGAGCAAACGACUGAUACCGUAACGCUUCCCGUAAUGAAGGCCGAACCCGAAAGAUGCAUUGAUGACCGGCUGGGAUCCCUUGGGGACAUGAAUGUCAUUAAUGUUUUUGGCAGGUCCUUGCGUCUGUGAAAAACAAGAUCGAACAGUUUGCGUCUGUGGAGAGAGACUUCCCCGGCCUCCUCCUCCAAGCCCAGCAGUACCUGCUUUUCCGGCUGGACAUGUCCGAUAUGACCCCUGCGACACUAACCAAAGAUCCCAUUCAAGAGGCACCCAGGACAGGAAGUGGCAAGAACCUUUUGGAUGGUCCUCCGAGAGUGCUUCAGCCCUUCCUGACCAACAGAGCCAAGAUGUCAGGGGCGCCCCCAAACCUGCCUCUGCCGGUGAGGAACGCCAUGCUGGCUGCCGCCCUCUUCCCGGAGUUCCUAAAGGAGCUAGCUGCCUUGGCCCAGGAACACUCCAUCCUGUGCUGCCAGCUCCUGGGCGACUUCCAGGACUCCUGUUGUUAGCGUUUAUAUUAUUAUCUCAAUAG
rnacentral:lncRNA from 1 species